rnacentral:rRNA from 1 species
GACGAGCGCUGGCGGCGUGCCUAACACAUGCAAGUCGAGCGAAUGAAGUUCCUUCGGGAAUGGAUUUAGCGGCGGACGGGUGAGUAACACGUGGGCAACCUGCCUCAUAGAGGGGAAUAGCCUUCCGAAAGGGAGAUUAAUACCGCAUAAGAUUGUAGUAUCGCAUGAUACAGCAAUUAAAGGAGCAAUCCGCUAUGAGAUGGGCCCGCGGCGCAUUAGCUAGUUGGUGAGGUAACGGCUCACCAAGGCGACGAUGCGUAGCCGACCUGAGAGGGUGAUCGGCCACAUUGGGACUGAGACACGGCCCAGACUCCUACGGGAGGCAGCAGUGGGGAAUAUUGCACAAUGGGGGAAACCCUGAUGCAGCAACGCCGCGUGAGUGAUGACGGCCUUCGGGUUGUAAAGCUCUGUCUUCAGGGACGAUAAUGACGGUACCUGAGGAGGAAGCCACGGCUAACUACGUG